GGCGGCUGGUUCCUGGUCUUCGGCCCGGGCUUCAACCUGAAGGAG
rnacentral:tRNA from 1 species